AAAAUUAGUGGCUGGAAAGAAAAAUUAUUAUCCUCGGGAGGGAAGGAAAUUCUUCUCAAGUUUGUUGUCCAAGAUAUUCCUACAUAUGGUAUAUCUGUUCUUUAAAAUUCCUAAAAAAAUUGCAAAGAAAUUAUUGACAUGAUGUCGUAGUUUUGGUGGGGAGAUGAUCAAGACCAGAGCAGAAUGCAUUGGAUGUUUUGGUGGAGUGUGUCCCAAAAAAACAAAGGAGUGUGUUUCUAUGAUAUCCAUUAUUUUAGUUUGGCUUUGUUGGCGAAACAGGCUUCGCGUCUUCUUAAGAACCCAGACUCUUUAUCCGUCACUUUUGAGAGCUAA
rnacentral:rRNA from 1 species